rnacentral:lncRNA from 1 species
CACGAACUCAGAGGGUCAAGGGCCGGUCAAUGUGCACAUGCAUGUUCGUUCUCCUCUGGCAGCUGUGUUAAGGCCUCAAUCCGGAUAAAACAAAAGCAAUAAUGUAUGUAGGUCUUCCCGAAGCAGCGGUUCAGAAUGAUCCCACACUGUGAGCAAUUCUGCCAAGAAACAGAGAGCUUUUUUGGCCAAUGGCCAGGAAGACCUGCAAGAUGCCUGAAGUAGGACCAGAAAAGCCCUGUACAUGGCCUCUUCAGUAGAGGGAAAAGCUGGGAGUUUGGCAUCCUCAACAACUCCCAUAUGACCACAUGGCAAGACAACUACUUCAGGUAUCUUCUCAAGAGCCAGAAAUGUUUUUCAGCAAAGCUAUUUUCAACAGGACGAGGCACACUAUGAAGAGUCUCUCUCCUUGUCAAUAACUGAAGACAUUAAACGUGUGAAAUGCCAGCCAAAUCCAGUGAUCAACCAGGCACUGACUGAGCUUACUUUGUGAAAUAGUAGCCCACAAGGUCCAAACAAGACUGCUGUUUUUAAAAAAAAAAAUAUUAAUUUAUUUUUUUACAUUCCAAUCCCAGUUCCCCUUUCCUUCUCUCUUCCUACUCCCCCCGACCCCGCGCCCCUCCUCCCAUCUGCUCCAUGGAGAGGAGAGGGUAAGACCUCUCCUAGAAAGUCUUCUAAGUCUGUCCCAUUAUUUCCUUGAGGCAGGACCAAGGCACCUCUCUGUAGGGGACACAGUAACCACACCUGCUAGGGGCUGGCUACAGGUGACAUAGGGAAGGUUUAAGAGUGAGGGAUGCACACGUGGAAGCCCCUUCUUUCUUUUCAUCAUCGGCUUGCUGUACUUACUCUGUGCCCUGCCAGCUGGCUAGGUCGCUCUGUAAGUAAGGCAUCCCCCUAAUAAAUACCCUUAUAUUUUUACCUGACUCUGUACUGGUAAUUCCCACAUUACCUCCCCAAGCCCACACCCCUGUGUCUAGGCUAAGCAAGGUAUCUCUCCAUAUGGAAUGGGCUCCACUAAGUCAGUUUGCGCAUUAGUGUUAGAUCUUGGACCCACCGCCCGUGACCUCAUAUAUUGUCCCAGUCGCACCAUUGUGUCUUUGAGUCUUGUUUUGACAGACCGGCAGGUACCCACCCUGUGCUGUGGCAUCUGCAACAUAUUCUUUUAUGAUGAUAUGAGAAGGCUGUGUUGAAUCUUCUGAUGGUUCAGAGGCCAAGCAAGACCCCUUCUCUGUUUCCUCAGAGAAAUCUGGAGAGGAGAGAGAUGGUGACACAAAAUGAGGCCCAAAUAAAGCAGAUGGGAAGGCUCUACUAAAUGGUUACCCUCAUUUCAUUCAGGUAGGAUUGAGACUGAGGCUCCCCAAACAAAAUCUUAAUGAACAGGAGAGGUCUUGAAAAAUGCCUAUUGAGACUCGGGAAUGUAGAGAGAAAACUUACCAAGCUUACCAGUAUCACACAGUUGUAGAGUCAGGAAGACUAGAUGAUUGAAAUGUGAUAAAGAUGACUGUGAAGGAGAAGUACCCCAGAUAAAUGGAAGAGAUGAUGAGGAACUGAUGAAUGAACUUCUUUUAACUAAGAGUUGCCACACAUAAGGUUUUUCACAACAAAGAGCAAUGCUUAAAGCCAGAAUUCAAGUGCUGCUGGCUUCCUUUGUCCUGGCAUCUGGAAGGAAAGGAAGAAGGCCCAGGCAAAAGAUCCUGUUGAAGUCCUCAAUCCUGUGUACCUAUGUGAAGGAGAUAAGAUAAUAACCCUUCAAAAUAAUCCUGUUUGAAACAGAAACAUGGAGGCCUCCGUCUUGAACCUAUGUAUCUUCCUCUGAGAAAUCAUGCAAAAGAUUUUCCCCUGGGACAAGAGGGAAAUGGUCUGUGAAAGAAAGAACCUUCUACCUUCCAAGAUGCUGGCUUGUCAAUAGUUUUCAUGACCCACCCUCUCUCCCUAACUUCUUCCACCACUGUUAUUCAUCACUUCAUUCAUAGACUGAGUAGUCAACAGUGACGUGAAUCUUCUGGGAAUACACUGGUUUUUCCCCACGCUUGUAUUUAAUAAACAUGCCCGUGGCUUAGCAUGGGUAAAUCUGAA